GACGAACGCUGGCGGCGUGCUUAACACAUGCAAGUCGAACGGAGUGGCGAACGGGUGAGUAUUACGUGAGUAACCUGCCCUCAACUGUGGGAUAAGCCUGGGAAACUGGGUCUAAUACUGCAUAGUUGGGGAUGGGCUCGCGGCCUAUCAGCUUGUUGGUGGGGUGAUGGCCUACCAAGGCGGUGACGGGUAGCCGGCCUGAGAGGGUGGUCGGCCACAGUGGGGCCGGGAUACGGCCCAGGCUCCGACGGGAGGGAGGAGUUGGGGAUUUUGCACAAGUGGCGCAAGCCUGAAGCAGCGACGCCGCGUGAGGGAUGAAGGCUUUUGGGUUGGAAACCUGUUUCGGUACAGAACGGGUAUGUGCAGAAGAAGCGCCGGCUAACUACGUGCCAGCAGCCGCGGUAAUUC
rnacentral:rRNA from 1 species